rnacentral:snRNA from 2 species
UAGGCGGACUUGAUGAACAACUACAUACACCUAGACGUAAUCAGCCAAGGUUAAAAAUUCAUGCAGGUUCUGUAGG